UGCGUAGUCGGCUUGACAAGUUGGUGAUGAAAUUCCAGGGCUUAACUCUGGCGCUAUUACCAAACUGUUGGGCUUGAGUGUGAGAGAGGUAAGUGGAAUUCCUAGUGUAGCGGUGGAAUGCGUAGAUAUUAGGAGGAACACCAGUGGCGAAGGCGACUUACUGGCUCAUAACUGACGAUGAGGCACGAAAGCGUGGGGAGCAAACA
rnacentral:rRNA from 1 species